rnacentral:rRNA from 1 species
ACUAAAAAGAAGAAAGUAAAAUCUUUACUUUUUGCAUCAUGGUCUAUAGAGAGUGAGACCAAAAUUGGUUUUUCCCGAAAGUUCAGGAGCUACUUAAGAUGUAAUGUGGUCUGUUUCAUAAUACCUGCUAAGCGUUAAAGUAGUGGCGACAUACCAAUCGCAUGGACUGAUAGCUGGUUGUUACGAAAACAUACUUUAGUAUGGAGGAGUUGAUUUAGCUUUCCCAACGAUUUUAGGAGGGAACAGUAAUGCAAUUCUAUUCGGGCUGUUGGGGAUAAGCUGAGCAGGAGUGUUAAUUGAUAUGAAUCAAUAAGGUAGGGUUAGUAGUGCCCAUCCUUUUAAGUUUUGUCUAAAAUAAUUACGUAGUUAAGAUUAAUAAUAUUAUACGUAACCCAUAUAAUUAACUUUAAUAUGUGGAUUAGUAUAGAAUGAGUAGUCAAGCUAAAUAUCAUAGGCUGAAUUCGAAAAAUAUUUGCUUAAUAAUUAUAAAAUGUAAAGUGAGGAAUAAAAGGUUUUUCUAAGGAACUCGGCAAAUACUCUCUGCGCCUGUUUACCAAAAACAUCUCUUCUAGAAUGAUACUAGAAGUAGGCCCUGCCCGGUGCCCUGCGGGGUAAACGGCGGUGUUAAACCUUAAAGUAGCGUGAUAAGUCGGCCUUUAAUUGGGGUCUGGUAUGAAGGGGUUGACGUCGGAGAAACUGUCUCGGAAAAAUAUGGUGAAAUUUACUUUUAAGUGAAAAGGCUUAAAUAAAAGUAAAAGACGAGAAGGCCCUGUCGAGCUUGAGGGAUUUGAGUGUUAAAUAACAUGAUUAGGAGUUUGGCUGGGGCAGCAAUGGAGGUAGCCUCCAUUUUUAAAGCAAAGAUCCAUUAUAGUUAAUUAAUGAUAAAAGGAAAAAGUUACCGCAGGGAUAACAGCACAAGACCGCCUCAGAGGUCGUAUCGAAGGCGGUAAGUGUGACCUCGAUGUUGGAUUAGGGUAAACCUCUUUGUGCAGGAGCAAAGCGGGUAGGACUGUUCUUCCUUUAAUUCCCUACAUGAUCUGAGUUAAGACCGGCGUGAGCUAGGUCGGUUUCUAUCUUUAAAAGGAGCUGGCUCUCGUACGAAAGGAUCGAGGCGGCUGAACUAUUAUUUUUAAGUUUAAUCCUAAACAGAUAAAUUUAUUACACUUAUAUAGUGGAAGGAUUCAUGGUAGUAGCAGUAGUUGC